rnacentral:lncRNA from 1 species
UGAAACAAUGCUAAAACUCUCUGUUUUUGCUCAGUUCCAUUCGAUUCAAUUCUUGUUCAGGCCGCUUACGGUGUUCCAUAGUUUCCCCAGAACCUUGAACGCCCGACCAGUAGUUGUGAAGUUGUCGUUAAAUAUUUAUAAUAAAUUAAUAAAUCUCCUCUAUCUCUUCCGCUCGAUGGUUGCUUUUCAAACCCACUUUGCUGAAACAGUGUAUUUUCUUGUAUCGCAGAUAAAAAUAUCCAAAGAUUUACUAGGAAGAGAACUAGUAGAUCUUGUGAAAGAAUCAGAUCGUGAAAGAAGAAGUUACAAUUCUCAGCUUCAAGGUUAGAGGGGGAAGCAUGGCAUCAUGCUUUGCAUGACGGAGCUAAGUAAUAACCCGGACGCCAACGAAAGCUAUCGGUUUUAACCUUUCCAACCUGAAUUUAUUACCUUAAAACGUCACUGGGCUCCGUGGAACUAAGACGUAAUAAAUUCGCUUCAAUGGAUGGAAUACCACAAACUAACUAGAAGUGUCUUACUAAAGUUAGAGAAAGUCGAGAAAGUACGUAGGCCUAUUUGCCUCGGCGGCGGUACGGCUCCAAUCAUAUAUCUAUUCACACAAACUUGAUAAAUACUUCUUUUAAAUGUUUUACGUUUUGAUUCUUUUACGUAUUUUGAAUUAAACAGGACACCAUCGUAGCGAAUGGAAUAUAGUGGGACCAUUGAAGUUGUUAUUCAAUCUGUAUCAAACAAGUAAGUAGACAUGAACUUCCUUAUCAUUUUUGAUGUUUUACCCCCUAUAUUAACUUGAACAGCUUGUUUUAGCCAUAUAUAGCUAUUUCUUUUGUUCAGCUGAUAUAGCUAAACUACUUACUUCUGAGAAACUUACUUACUUCUGAGAAAAACUUAGAAAAAAAAAUGUUGAUAGUGAAGUUCACAGACAGAAUAUACAGCCAUAAGAACAUUUGUAGGAGGAACGUUCUCGUGAAGAAGAACGUCAAAAUACGAAGAAAACUUCUUCAUAAGAACUAACAUAUCAAGAAUAUUUCCUAGACGAUAAUGAGAGCAUGUUUGGAAUACAUCAGAUUAUUUUUCAAGUUGGUAACGUGUGCAUAGUAAGCGCAUCUUUAGCAGUACCAGACUUACUGGAUGCUAUAAAAGUAUUCAUUUGGAAGCAGCCUUGAUGAGAUUGCUGGUAGAAAAUGUCAGUUUCUUUUAUUUGUAACAAUAAAUGGAUGUUUAUUAGAGGAAUUUUGAAAUCAGCACACUAUUUAAAAAAGGUUUUCUAUUUCUAUUUCCCCAUUAUCGUACAGCGAUGUCGUUCCUGUCUAACAUCACGGCUGCCUUUAUGCUUAUGUUAGAAAAAAACUUUGCGACAUCACAUUUCUAGCAUCAGACCGAAUACUCCAGAAAAGUCAAUAGCAGCAUACCGCUUCAUGUUCAGUACCGGUUUUACCAAAAGAGAGGUGGAGGGACCCUCAUCUUUGUUCUUUACCUGUACCGUAUCUUUUUUUUUUGUUACAGUUUGGGGACCAUUUAAAAAAUUUAAAAUGUUGUAUUCGACUAGGCGCCAAAAUAAGAAAACAUAGCCCUGUUCGCAAGGCAGCUGCAGUAUCCAGUCGGAAAAUUUCCCUAAAGCCGUUCUAUGUCUUUGGAAAAAUACACAUAUUUGGUAGGCUAUA